rnacentral:rRNA from 1 species
CGCAAGCCUGACGGAGCAAGACCACGUGGGGGAGGAAGGCUCUUGGGUUGUAAACCCCUUUUCUCAGGGAAGAACAAAUGACGGUACCUGAGGAAUCAGCCUCGGCUAACUCCGUGCCAGCAGCCGCAGUAAUACGGAGGAGGCAAGCGUUAUCCGGAAUUAUUGGGCGUAAAGCGUCCGCAGGUGGCGAUUCAAGUCUGCUGUCAAAGCACGGGGCUUAACUCCGUUAAGGCAGUGGAAACUGAAUAGCUAGAGUGCCGUAGGGGUAGAGGGAAUUCCCGGUGUAGCGGUGAAAUGCGUAGAGAUCGGGAAGAACAUCGGUGGCGAAAGCGCUCUACUGGACGGCAACUGACACUCAGGGACGAAAGCUAGGGGAGCG